AUUGAACGCUGGCGGCAGGCCUAACACAUGCAAGUCGAGCGGAUGAAGGGAGCUUGCUCCUGGAUUCAGCGGCGGACGGGUGAGUAAUGCCUAGGAAUCUGCCUGGUAGUGGGGGAUAACGUCCGGAAACGGGCGCUAAUACCGCAUACGUCCUGAGGGAGAAAGUGGGGGAUCUUCGGACCUCACGCUAUCAGAUGAGCCUAGGUCGGAUUAGCUAGUUGGUGGGGUAAAGGCCUACCAAGGCGACGAUCCGUAACUGGUCUGAGAGGAUGAUCAGUCACACUGGAACUGAGACACGGUCCAGACUCCUACGGGAGGCAGCAGUGGGGAAUAUUGGACAAUGGGCGAAAGCCUGAUCCAGCCAUGCCGCGUGUGUGAAGAAGGUCUUCGGAUUGUAAAGCACUUUAAGUUGGGAGGAAGGGCAGUAAGUUAAUACCUUGCUGUUUUGACGUUAACAAAAGAAUAAGCACCGGCUAACUUCGUG
rnacentral:rRNA from 1 species